CGUAUUGCGAGGUUAGUAUUAGUAUACUAACCUUGCACCACGAACCGCGUUUGGCAGUGGAUUUCUAACUAGUGGGUCGCGCGUGCUGGGAUCUCACUUCUUGGGUCCACAACACACGACUUCUAUGGCUUGAUUUUUCUGUGCGCGGCGGCAUGUAAUGAACCCUUGGGUGUGUACGGCCAGGCAUCAAUAACUUUUGUUGUCAUCCAAUUUCAAUGAAAUUUUCAGCAUUUUGCUCGGAAUGAAUUUUACAUUAUUUAUUAAGAUCAAGGCCUAAAUAUCUUCAACCUGUAUAAUUCAUAACCAUUUUACUUUUUAGGUGUGCAGAAAAGACCAACCCCCCCCCCCCCCAUGGUCUGCUGACUACAGUACAUAAACUUAAAUACACGGGACUAGUAUUGUUACACAGCUUUUUGCAAAUGCAAGUUUGGUAACGACUAACGAAUUCCCAUUUUUUUUUCAACGUAAUUUUGAAGUCGAAAACAUAGCUGAACUUACGAAUGCAAUGUCCGUCCACAUCCUACCGAUUAGAGCAGUUGUAUGCAGCUCAUGUAGGCAUGAAUAACGUGAAAUCUAAGCUAAUAAGUUCACCAACAUGCCAAUCUGAGCUGUGAAAAAGUGUGAUCGUCCCGGAGCGAAAACAGCUUGAGCAAGGUGCAGCCAAUCAGCGACCUUCUUAUGUCCCCUUCGAGACAGAGGAGACGAAAUGAUUUUAUGUCAAAAAGACUCAAAACACAAAAUCAUUUCGUCGACGAAAUUUUUUUGUCUUUUGACACAAAAUCAUUUCGUCGACGAAAUUUUUUUGUGUUUUGACACAAAAUCAUUUCGUCGACGAAAUUUUUUUGUGUUUUGACACAAAAUCAUUUCGUCAACGAAAUUUUUUUGUGGUUUUGACACAAAAUGAUUUCGUCGACGGAAUAGAUUUUCGCAUCGCAACGAAAUAAAUUUUGUGGACGCAAUUACAUUUAGUCUCGACGAAAAUUGAUUUUGUGUGACAAAAAAUAAUUUCGUAUACGAAAUAAAACUGCGUCAUGACGAAAUGAUUUUCAUAUGAACAAAAACACAUUUUGUGUACGGAAUUGCGUGAAUUGGACGGAAUUUACCAUCGGACAUUUGGUGCGCCAUUUCGUUUGAUAAAAAUUCAUUUCGUAUGGCACGCCAAAUAAACUUUGUGGACGCAAUUACAUUUCGUCUAGACGAAAUUGAUUUCGUGCAUUUCGUCGAGACGAAAUUGAUUUUGUGUGACAAAAAAUAAAUUUUGUGUACGAAAUAAAAAAGCGUCAUGACGAAAUGAUUUUCGUCUGAAUAAAAACACAUUUUGUGUACGGAAUGCCGUGAUUUGGACGGAAUUCACUGGCGGACACUUGGCGCCCCAUAUCCCAGUACUUGUUCAUUGCAUGAAUGGAGUUGGCCGAACUGGCGUAUUUUGUAGCACGCUUGAGUGCAUCGCACAAGUAAACGAAGAUGACGCUGUUGAUGUCUUUCACGUGGUGAAGAUGCUAAGAAGUGAAAGGAUGCAUUUCGUACAAACCGAGGAAGAAUAUUCGUUCAUCUACGAGCUGAUCAAAGAAUAUCUUCGAGAACAUGAGUACGAGGAACCGCUCCCCGAGGUCUCGCCGAACGAUCACACUUACACGUAUGCUGAAUCCCCUCUGGCCCCAGGUUCCGGUGAGAGCGAGCAUGUAUACGCACAAUUGCAAGAAGGUGCCCCCGAUAAAGGAGUGUAUACCCCACUGAAGAUAGAAAAAUAAUCCUUUUGGGACAAAGACUCUUUAAUGAUGUUUUUGGGUUAUGUUAUAAUGUAGGUGUUCUAAAAUUCAUUUUUUUUUAAUUCAUUUUUUCAAAGGCAGUAAGUCGCCUCUUGAUGGAGAUUGUAUCCAUUCUAUACCCAGUUACCUGUUUUUUGAAAGAAAUAUAUUGUUUUAUCUUAGGAGUAUUUGUGAGAAAGGAAUCGUUGCUGCACGGGAAAGGGGUGGCAGAAAGAGAGCCUCUACACCCCCAAAAAAAUUCCAAACAUGCACACAAGCAUAAAGUGUGCGCGUCAAUUAUUACAUGUCAACCAGGUAAAUAUUAUAUUUAUUACAAGAUUGGCCGCUUCGCGCCCUCGCUUUCUUAUCCUAAAAGAUACUACGCAUUUUAACCUCAAUCCCAAGGGAAUUUUCUCAUUGGCCUUAAAAAAAUCGUUUUAAUAAUUAUCAAACUUCCUUUAAUCAUAUGCAUUUUUCUCUCAUGUAAAAGCGGAUAUAUCUUUGUUGUUUAUAUUUAACUUAUACUCAUACGAGAAACAUGUUUGUGUCAUGUAUAAUAGAAUGUUAUUUUUAUCUGUUGCGUUUCAAACAAAAAAACAAACAAAAUACCUUAUUGUGUAAUGUCAAUAUGUUGAGUACAUUUCAUCGAUUUAUUUUUAUUUUUUUGUCGAAAUCAGAAUAUUUUAUGACAGGCAAACACUAAGCCGAUGAUUUGGUUUUCACGGGGCUCACGAAUGUUUGCAAAGGACUCGAAUUAAAAAAAAGAAAAAUUGCAAAGUCCAUCAGUCAUUAUGUGUAGCAAAAGUAUCGCUUAUUAUUUUCACCUGAGAUGGGGUGCCUUUUCUUUACGCUUUAUAUUUUGCAAAAGUACCUCAAAAUCAUUGUAACCGGUUAAACGUUCUCAAAUCGUAUAUGUGAUGCUCGCGUUCUUCGCAAAAUCGUGGUGUCUCCCUUGUUGACUCAGUGUGGAGCGUUGUGUCCCAGUGGAUCAGUCUCGGGAAUCUGAAACAGAGGGUCGUCGGUUCGAAUCCCAGCCGUGGCGUAAAUUCCUUUGGCAAGAAAUUUAUUCACAUCGUGGUGCACUCGACCCAGGUGACGUUAAUGGGUACCCGGUGGAAUUUAUUCCUUGAACGCUAUUAAUAUGGCGGCUCAGCUACAGCCGUGGUAAUAAUAUGAUACCAAGUAUCAAAGCGCAGUUGAGUAUAUGCACAUAGUAACUGCGCUAUAUAAAUUGAUAUACAAUUAUUAUAAUAUUGUUUUAAUUCACACUUUCAUUUUCAUUCUGUUACCUAUUCGCACUUUUACAUAUUGAAAUUACCAUUUGACUUUAUUGUAUCGAUUCUGUUCCAAGCCUUUCCGGGGAGUUUCAUGAGGCAUCUAGUCAGUGAUGUUAACCGACUAAUUAGUUCUGAGCCAAUCAGAUACAAGGAUAUCAGUAGCUUAUGACAGUUAGCACUAAAAUAAUUCCUUCAUGGAAAUGCUCCCCAUAUUUAGUUUGAAGGCAUUUGAAGAUUAAAGAAAAACGUUGACAUUUCCAUUAUAAGACGAACUUAGACGAAACUUUCGUUAAUCUUUUUAAUGUUGAUGUUAGCCUAUUUCUGUAAUCAAAUACCCAUCCCUGCCACUUACUUUCUUUUGCUUUCUGUUCCAAGCCUUUCUGGGGAGUUUCAUUUUCAUAUUUCCAUUAUAAAACGAACUUAGACGAUACUUUCGCUAAUAUUUUUAAUGUCUGUAAUCAAAUGCCCAUCCCUGCCACUUUCUUUCUUUUGUUGAAUAUAGUUUUAACACAAUUGUAAUGCCACACCAAUAUUCUCGAUUUGUUCAUAUAUACAAAAUAUUUAAACGAUUCAAGAAUCUUAUCUCUUUUAUGAACAACAUUUAUCCUAAGCUUCUGUUUUUACUCGUUGUUAUUUUUUGGACACUUGUAUGUGUCAAAUUUCGGGGGGGGGGGGGCGGUCGGCGUACAUUAGACUAUAUUAGCUCAAAUUUGUUUUUAUCAUUGUUAUAAUAUGUAAUAGACUUUGGCAUUUCUACGAAAAACGAUAUCAGUAUCGAUGUCUACACCACUUGAUAAUAACAAAAAACUUCAACUUGCUGCCAUGGCCGCUGUACGUGUGUGAAUAAAUCACCUGGGACCCGUUUCAUAAAGGACUUGCAACUGUUGUAACUUUGCCUUUUUGGAAACUACUAUGGAAACCUUGAUUAUGAUUGGCUGCUGAGCCCUGUUACCAUGGUAGUUGCCAUUAUGGCAAAAUUACAACAGUUACAAGUCCUUUUUUAAACGACCCCUGCUAUGUAUACGUUACUU